rnacentral:rRNA from 1 species
AUUGAGACUUCGGUGGAUUUGAUCUAUUUCUAGUGGCGGACGGGUGAGUAACGCGUGGGUAACCUGCCUUAUACAGGGGGAUAACAGUCAGAAAUGGCUGCUAAUACCGCAUAAGCGCACAGAGCUGCAUGGCUCAGUGUGAAAAACUCCGGUGGUAUAAGAUGGACCCGCGUUGGAUUAGCUAGUUGGCAGGGCAGCGGCCUACCAAGGCGACGAUCCAUAGCCGGCCUGAGAGGGUGAACGGCCACAUUGGGACUGAGACACGGCCCAGACUCCUACGGGAGGCAGCAGUGGGGAAUAUUGCACAAUGGGGGAAACCCUGAUGCAGCGACGCCGCGUGAAGGAAGAAGUAUCUCGGUAUGUAAACUUCUAUCAGCAGGGAAGAUAAUGACGGUACCUGACUAAGAAGCCCCGGCUAACUACGUGCCAGCAGCCGCGGUAAUACGUAGGGGGCAAGCGUUAUCCGGAUUUACUGGGUGUAAAGGGAGCGUAGACGGCGCAGCAAGUCUGAUGUGAAAGGCAGGGGCUUAACCCCUGGACUGCAUUGGAAACUGUUGAGCUUGAGUGCCGGAGGGGUAAGCGGAAUUCCUAGUGUAGCGGUGAAAUGCGUAGAUAUUAGGAGGAACACCAGUGGCGAAGGCGGCUUACUGGACGGUAACUGACGUUGAGGCUCGAAAGCGUGGGG